AUACUUACUGGCAGGAGAGACCAUGAUCACAAAAGUGGUUUUCCUAGGGUAAGACUCAUCCAUUACACCCAAUGUGUGCUGACUACUGAUUUCCUCAAAUGUGGAAAACUCAGCUGCAUCAUUUGUGAUAGUUGGGGACUGCAUUCGCCCUUCUCCCCU
ensembl:snRNA U1 U1 spliceosomal RNA